rnacentral:tRNA from 2 species
GGCGGGAUAGCUCAGAUGGUAGAGCAACGGACUGAAAAUCCGUGUGUCCCCAGUUCGAUUCUGGGUCCCGCCACCA